rnacentral:rRNA from 1 species
UCACCUCCCACCCGUGUCUAUCGUACCUUGUUGCUUCGGCGGGCCCGCCGUUUCGACGGCCGCCGGGGAGGCCUUGCGCCCCCGGGCCCGCGCCCGCCGAAGACCCCAACAUGAACGCUGUUCUGAAAGUAUGCAGUCUGAGUUGAUUAUCGUAAUCAGUUAAAACUUUCAACAACGGAUCUCUUGGUUCCGGCAUCGAUGAAGAACGCAGCGAAAUGCGAUAAGUAAUGUGAAUUGCAGAAUUCAGUGAAUCAUCGAGUCUUUGAACGCACAUUGCGCCCCCUGGUAUUCCGGGGGGCAUGCCUGUCCGAGCGUCAUUGCUGCCCUCAAGCACGGCUUGUGUGUUGGGCCCCCGUCCCCCUCUCCCGGGGGACGGGCCCGAAAGGCAGCGGCGGCACCGCGUCCGGUCCUCGAGCGUAUGGGGCUUUGUCACCUGCUCUGUAGGCCCGGCCGGCGCCAGCCGACACCCAACUUUAUUUUUCUAAGGUUGACCUCGGAUCAGGUAGGGAUACCCGCUGAACUUAAGCAUAUCAAUA